CCUGCCCCUAGAGGAGUUUCAGGUGCGGCUGGUGUGGCACAUGUGUGUCAGUAGGUGGCAGAAAGGAGAGAGGCUGUGUCUACUCUCAGUGUUCUGACCUGUGAACACCUGAAGGAUCAGUAACCUAACACU